rnacentral:rRNA from 1 species
AUGAAAGAUUAACUUUUGCGAAAGCAUCUGCCAAGGAUGUUUUCAUUAAUCAAGAACGAAAGUUAGGGGAUCGAAGACGAUCAGAUACCGUCGUAGUCUUAACCAUAAACGAUGCCGACCAGCGAUUAGGAGACGUUGAAUACAAAACACCACCAUCGGUUGCGGUCGUCCUUGGCGUCUCGGUUUCGGCCGGGGCGCGGGGACGGUUUAGCCCGGUGGCACCGGUGAAUGACUCCCCUAGCAGCUUGUGAGAAAUCAUAAGUCUUUGGGUUCCGGGGGGAGUAUGGUCGCAAGGCUGAAACUUAAAGGAAUUAACGGAAGGGCACCACCAGGAGUGGAGCCUGCGGC